rnacentral:rRNA from 1 species
CCCUACGGGGGGCAGCAGUGGGGAAUAUUGCACAAUGGGGGAAACCCUGAUGCAGCGACGCCGCGUGAGCGAUGAAGUAUUUCGGUAUGUAAAGCUCUAUCAGCAGGGAAGAAAAUGACGGUACCUGACUAAGAAGCCCCGGCUAACUACGUGCCAGCAGCCGCGGUAUUACGUAGGGGGCAAGCGUUAUCCGGAUUUACUGGGUGUAAAGGUAGCGUAGACGGCUGUGCAAGCCAGAUGUGAAUGCCCGUGGCUUCACCCCGGGACUGCAUUUGGAACUGUGUGGCU